AGUGAUAUGCUUAUUUCAAAGAUUAAGCCAUGCAAGUCUAAGUUCAAGCGAUCACCUCGGUGAACGCGAAACUGCGAUAAGCUCAUUAUAAAAGUUAGAGUGUACAGGGUGCUUAUCCACAGGUGGAAGUACAAAGGUGGGGCUUGCUCCGUCUGCGUGAACGCUUGUAUUAAGAGGGUAUUUUCGGAUAACUCUGGAAAAUCUGGAGCUAAUACGUGCAUGUGGUCUCCGUAAAAAGAGGCCCACUGUAUUUAUCCGCUCUGGAACUGACCGUGUCGCUGCUGCUCCUCGGGGCUGGCAAGGCAUGUGAUGUGAACAAGGAUAACUCAACUGACCGUUUCCUUUCGGAGACGGUGCGCCCUUCCACUUUCUUACCUAUUAACUUUCGAUUGUUGUGUAGUGGACAACAAUGGUUUUGAUGGGUACGGAGGAUUAGGGUUCGACUCCGGAGAGUCCGCCUUAAAGACGGCUGACACUUCCAAGGGAGGCAGCAGGCGCGAAAAUUACCCAAUCGACAAUUGUCGGAGGUAGUGACGAAGAAUAUCAGGCUCGGGAGACUUUGUCUUCCAGCUUCGAAAUGGAUAGGGCAUAAAUCCCCCUAUGAGAAACUACUGGAGGGCAAGAUCUGGUGCCAGCAGCCGCGGUAAUACCAGCUCCAGUAGCAUAUAUUAAAGUUGCUGCAGUUAAAACGCUCGUAGUUGGACUUCAGAGCGCCARACCGUGGGCCACUGAAAGUUUUUUAGUGUGAUGAUGCUUGAGGCCAAUGUCUUUUUUGAAUUAGGGCUGUGAGGGGAAACCUUCAUGGUUACGUUCGCAUUGGCUGAGUCGUCUUAGUCCGCGUCUCGUGUGCUCUACGCUGCGUCUUUCUUUUUUUUUUUUCUAUUAAUCCUUCGGGGUUAGUGGUAAAGAAAUGAGAAGAUGCCAGAUACCUUGAGGAAAUUGGAGUGUUCAAGGCAAGCGUAAUUUUACGCGAUUGACCACUGAAGCAUGGAAUAUCGACCAUGACUCUUGUCACGGCUCGUUGGUUUCACGGCAUGAGUAAUGAUUAAUAGGAGCGGUCGGGGCCAUUGGUAUGCUUGCGUGAGAGGUGAWAUUUUUAGACCGCAGGCAGACCAACUACUGCGAAAGCAUUUGGCAAGGACGCUUUCAUUAAUCAAGAACGAAAGUUGGGGGAUCGAAGGCGAUUAGACACCACCGUAGUCCCAACCAUAAACUAUGCCGACUAGGGAUUGGACUUUUUGUCCACCUUUACAAUGACACUUCCAGCACCUUAUGAGAAAUCAAAGUCUUUGGGUUCUGGGGGGAGUACGGUCGCAAGGCUGAAACUUAAAGGAAUUGACGGAGAUMUACACCAGGUGUGGAUUCUGCGGCUUAAUUUGACUCAACGCGGGGAAGCUUACCAGGCCCAGACAUUCGAAGGAUUGACAGAUUGAAAGCUCUUUCAUGAUUGUUUGAUGAGUGGUGCAUGGCCGUUUUUAGUUCGUGGAGUGAUCUGUCUGCUUUAUUGCGAUAACGAACGAGACCAAUACCUGCUAAAUAGCGGUUAUGACAUUCAGUUGACUGGAUGUUGGGUUGAUAAGGGAGGGGUUAGGGAAAGAGAGGGGGAAAGAGGAUUUCGGYCUUUUUUCUCUCUUUUUUUUCUCUUUCUUUUGCUCUUUGAUGCUCAGUGUUCAACUCGACUGGCGAAAGUGUCGUAAUUGGAUUGUGGAGGUGUGUUGGGGAAAGYAWYCCUUUCUCCCGGCAUACUAUGGGGGCGCAAGUCUUCAUCUUCGUCCACAGUCUGCGCUUCUUAGAGGGACUACUUGCGUAAGCGAGGGGAAGUUAUUGGCAACAACAGGUCAGGGAUGCCCUUUAGAUGGUCUUGGGCUGCACGCGUAAUACAAUGGACGGUUCAACGAGCUCUGAUUGACGAGUUUAGAGUCGGAAUUAGUUCUUGCCGGUGGUGACUUCGGUCAUUGUCGGUGUCCCUAGUUUGUCAGUUCUAUUCAUCCGUCGUCUCCUAGCCCGAAGGGGUAUGUGUGGUUAUCUUUUCGUUCUCUCGGGAAUUUGAGGAUUGCUAUGCGUUUGGGGUAAUCUUGUGAAAACCGUCCGCGCUGGGGAUUGAGGUUUGUAAUUUUCCCUCAUGAACCAGGAAUACCUCGUAAGUGCACGUCAUCAACGUGCGCUGAAUACGUCCYUGGAUCUUGUACACACCGCCCGUCGCUCCUACCGAUUGGAUGUUCCGGCGAGUUGUCCGGACUGCGCGCCCUUAGUGUCGAGGCUUCGGUUUUCGAUACGGGGCUUGGGGUUUGUCUGCAUCUUCGGGUGUGGGCGCGCUCUUGUGCGGGAAGUUCCGCGAGCCUUAACAUCUAGAGGAAGGAGAAGUCGUAACAAGGUUUCC
rnacentral:rRNA from 1 species